AAUAGAUACCCUGGUAGUCCACGCCGUAAACGAUGAGUGCUAAGUGUUAGAGGGUUUCCGCCCUUUAGUGCUGCAGCUAACGCAUUAAGCACUCCGCCUGGGGAGUACGGCCGCAAGGCUGAAACUCAAAGGAAUUGACGGGGGCCCGCACAAGCGGUGGAGCAUGUGGUUUAAUUCGAAGCAACGCGAAGAACCUUACCAGGUCUUGACAUCCUCUGACAACCCUAGAGAUAGGGCUUUCCCCUUCGGGGGACAGAGUGACAGGUGGUGCAUGGUUGUCGUCAGCUCGUGUCGUGAGAUGUUGGGUUAAGUCCCGCAACGAGCGCAACCCUUGAUCUUAGUUGCCAGCAUUCAGUUGGACACUCUAAGGUGACUGCCGGUGACAAACCGGAGGAAGGUGGGGAUGACGUCAAAUCAUCAUGCCCCUUAUGACCUGGGCUACACACGUGCUACAAUGGAUGGUACAAAGGGCUGCAAACCUGCGAAGGUAAGCGAAUCCCAUAAAGCCAUUCUCAGUUCGGAUUGCAGG
rnacentral:rRNA from 1 species